AACGAACGCUGGCGGCAUGCCUAACACAUGCAGGUCGAACGAGACCUUCGGGUCUAGUGGCGCACGGGUGCGUAACGCGUGGGAACCUGCCCUUAGGUUCGGAAUAACUCCCCGAAAGGGGUGCUAAUACCGGAUAAUGUCUUCGGACCAAAGAUUUAUCGCCUUUGGAUGGGCCCGCGUUGGAUUAGCUAGUUGGUAGGGUAAAAGCCUACCAAGGCGACGAUCCAUAGCUGGUCUGAGAGGAUGAUCAGCCACACUGGGACUGAGACACGGCCCAGACUCCUACGGGAAGCAGCAGUGGGGAAUAUUGGACAAUGGGCGAAAGCCUGAUCCAGCAAUGCCGCGUGAGUGAUGAAGGCCUUAGGGUUGUAAAGCUCUUUUACCCGGGAAGAUAAUGACAGUACCGGGAGAAUAAGCUCCGGCUAACUCCGUG
rnacentral:rRNA from 1 species